rnacentral:lncRNA from 1 species
UCUAUUUAAAUACAACCUGCAUUCAAACAACUAUCCACUUCCUUACCAUAUACCAGCACUUUAAUCUAAGCUCACUGACUCAUUCAGGUAUCUAAAAAACAUAAUCUUAAUGCAUGUCUGUUUUAGAAAUGCAUGUGACUUGACUAACACUGCAACCAAUUGUGAACUCCCUAAACUUCUUUUUCUUUCCUGUUAGGCAUAUUACUACAUCACCAUCUUGGUAGCCAAGUCUUAUUAAUUAAGAAAAUAUAACCUAUCAGCAUAGUCUUCCCUCUAGAGUCCAUCUUUCAUAACCUGUUCACUAUCAGGUUGUAUAAUAAUUUCACACUCUACACAACUCAUAAGUAAUGCCCCCCCCAAAAGCUAUAGCAUAAAUUAAUGAAGUAUCUUUAGGCAAGAAGUACUCACCACAAUUGUAGCAUAUACAAACCAGGGGAAAAAAAAAGGGCAAGUUAAAUAAUUUUUACUAGCUGCUCUUCAGUAUGGGAAGAAUAGCAUUACUAUUGAAUUUCAUGGACAGCAGAAGAAAAAUCAAAGGCUGUACCAAGACCCUUAUUCUUUAGUGGCACAUCAGACAAAACAAGGAGAUAAUCAUAUCUGUAGAUAACACAACUGAUAUCGCACGUCCUCUGUGGCCACCUUAAAGCAUGCACUAGAAGCUCAAGACUGAAGCCCCAGCUGUACUAAGUAGAUUUAGCCCCAUCUUCCCUACCUGUAGUUUCACAUAGGCUCAGGUAAUAUUAUCUAUACAUUGUAGCCUUGAAAGAAAUCAAGAACUGGGGAGCAACUGUUGGGCAUCUUGUACUUCUGUCGCCAGACGGGACCAAAGCAGCUUCCGCCUAGCGAGAACGCGCUGCCGGGGCUGGGCUGGCCGAGGGCUCCCUCGUCCCAGCACUGCUUCUGGCAGAGAGCACCAGAGCGGCGUUUUCGCUUGCUGCGUGUGAAAGGAACGAGCAGAGUUCACUUUCCGUGUGCUCUGAGAAACACCCUGCGAGACAGCCCAUGCCAGAAACACGUUGCAGAGUGUACAGCACGAUCAAAGGAAGGAUAAUCCUGGAAUCUGCACACAUCAGAGCCUAAACUAAAUCCUGUCCAGAGGCCUGAAUAAACUGCCCAUUCGAGACUGCCGGCA